rnacentral:lncRNA from 1 species
UCGCCUACUACCCCCGUUACUGCUAGGACAGGACGGACGCGGUGGCGGUGGCACACGCCGUCGAGCUUCAGCCUUCUUCGAGGUAGGGAGGAAAGGAUCAAUCUUCUGCUCUGCUCUGCGAUGGGCGCCGAGGUAGGCAUCAGACGUGGAGUUCAAUUCGAGUCCGAGUUGUGGAGUAUACAAUAAAUCAUGCUGGAUUGUUUGUUUGUAUGUAAAAGCGUUCUGUUAUUAUUGGUAAAUCAAUGUGACUACUGCAUAAGGCUGGUCGGUCUGUAACCUGAUCCGAGAGUCUGUCUGUUGGUAAAAAAUUAAUUGACUACUGGAAUUUGUUGACUUGGUAUCUGAAAGAUUUUAUUUUUAUUUGUGUGUGAAGUUUUCAAGGGACGAGUGGUUCAUGAAUUGCAUUGAUCGGUCCGUGAUACACCUUCUUUUUAUUAGGCUCAGUCGAUCUGUGCUACUUUAGCAUGAUUCGAUGAUACAAAAGAUUCAAAAGCUACUUUUUAUUAUGUGUGGCGAUGAACAGUAGCAGUUGCAAAAUAAAAGUAGUUCAAGUUCAUAAGGAAGCGGGCAAACGUAGCAGCAUCGAUCACCUGGACCUGGGACACCGAUGGUCCGCGACCUCGCGCUCCGAUCUAGUCCCCGUAUCCAUCCCUCCUCCUCCUCCUCAUGAUCCGCGGCAACCCAGGCGACUCCUUUCUUCCUCCUUGUCGACCCUGUCCUCCCCUUCUCUGGCGUGGUAGCGCCGUGGCGCAGCGGCCCGGAACACGGCUGGGAAGGGGCUGUAGAGGACUACGAGGAGGAACGGGAGCCCACUCGCCGCGAAGGGGCCGGGGGGG